GGUUGGGCUGUUCGCCCAUUAAAGUGGUACGCGAGCUGGGUUCAGAACGUCGUGAGACAGUUCGGUCCCUAUCCGUCGCAGGCGUAGGAAAUUUGAGAAGACCUGUCCUUAGUACGAGAGGACCGGGCUGGACGUACCUCUGGUGUACCAGUUGUCCUGCCAAGGGCAUGGCUGGGUAGCUAUGUAUGGAAUGGAUAAGCGCUGAAAGCAUCUAAGCGCGAAGCCAACUUCAAGAUAAGAUUUCCCACCGCAAGGGUAAGACCCCAGAAAGACUAUC
rnacentral:rRNA from 1 species